UGCCAGCCGCCGCGGUAAUACGGAGGGUGCUAGCGUUGUUCGGAAUUACUGGGCGUAAAGCGCGCGUAGGCGGCUAUUUAAGUCAGAUGUGAAAGUCCACGGCUCAACCGUGGAAGUGCAUUUGAAACUGGAUGGCUUGAGUACUGGAGGGGGUGGUGGAAUUCCCGGUGUAGAGGUGAAAUUCGUAGAUAUCGGGAGGAACACCAGAGGCGAAGGCGGCGACCUGGACUGAUACUGACGCUGAGGUGCGAAAGUGUGGGGAGCAAACAGGAUUAGAUA
rnacentral:rRNA from 1 species